rnacentral:pre_miRNA from 1 species
GUUGCAGUGGUCUCAGAUUCGCUUGGUGCAGGUCGGGAACAUUGUUCGCUUACUACGGCGUCGUUUUCACGUCGAUGAGCGAUCCGAACUUUGUGAAUACAAAUGUCUACCAUAUGCUUGUAAAUGAUGUCGUUGUUUUUGGCGAAAAUCAUGUUCCUGCCUUGCAUCAACUGAAUCGGAGGCCGCGGUGAAU